rnacentral:ncRNA from 1 species
AUCAACAUGAUGAACAGGACGAGUACUUAUUAGAACUCUCAAAGAGAAGGAAACCAAGGCUGGAAGUUUCCAGUGAGUUCUACUAACGAAGACCCCCUGGGAGUGGAGCACGAGGAUACUUUUUAUAUAAGUGCUUCCGUUUGCCGCGUUAAGGCGUAGAGUGAUAAUAAAGUAUAUCUUUAUUUUAAUUAGGGUGGAACCGCGACGACUCGUCCCUUUC